rnacentral:lncRNA from 1 species
GUCUCUGCCAUGGAUAAGGUCUCAUUAUAACCUCUUGCUGAACUUGUACUUGUCCUAAGACUGGUAGUAGUUAAAUCCUGAACUACCUUUUGGAAGUAGUUAUCUUAGAAUGUGAUGGUGAAGGAUGGUAAUGGCAAUCAAUUUGUCAGACAGAUUUCUUAGGGUACGUGAGGCCAGGAACUCAUCACAUCUGUGCUGCCCUUUCCCUGAAGAGUCAGUAGGGUAUUGUAGCAUAAAAGUUUAGGAAGUCUUGGCUGGACACAGUGGCUCACACCUGUAAUCCCAGCACUUUGGGCCAAGGUGGACGAAUCACUUGAGAUCAUGAAUUCAAGACCACCCUGGCCAACAUGGCAAAACCCCGUCUCUACUAAAAAUACAAAAAUUAGCUGGGCCUAAUGGCACGUGCCUGUAGUCUCAGCUUCUCAGGAGGUAAGACUCCGUUUCAAAAAAAAAAAGGCCAGGUACAGUGGCCCACGCCUGUUAUCCCAGCACUUUGGGAGGCCAAGGCGGGCGGAUCACAAGGUCAAGAGAUCGAGACCAUCCUUGCCAAUAUGGUGAAACCCCGUCUCUGCUAAAAAUGCAAAAAUUAGCUGGGCAUGGUGGCACACGCCUGUAGUCCCAGCUACUCGGGAGGCUGAGCCAGGAGAAUCGUGAGGUUGUGGUGAGCUGAGAUUGUGCCACUGCAUUCCAGCCUGGCGACAGAGUGAGACUGCCUCGCCAAAAAAAAAAAAAAAAAAAAAGGAAGCCUUGGCUGGGCGUGGUGGCUGAUGACUGUAAUCCCAGCACUGGGAGGCCAAGGCAGUCAGGUCACAUGAGGCCAGGAGUUUGAGACCAGCCUAGCCAACACAGUGAAACCCCGUCUCCACUAAAAAUAUUAAAAAAAAAAUUAGCUGGGCAUGGUGGUGCUCACCUGUAAUCCCAGCUACUCAGGAGGCUGAGGCAUGAGAAUCACUUGAACUCAGGAAACAGGCUUCAGUGAGCCGAGAUCAUGCCACUGCACUCCAGCCUGGGUGACAGAGUGAGACUCCGUUUCAAAAAAAAAUUAGGAAGCCUUGUUACCUGUUUGAGACUUGAUUGAUAUCCUGUGGCUGCAGCUUAGGGAAUGAUCCCCUGUAUAUCUCUGCCCUGGAAAUAAAUUUUAAUCACAUUCUCUCCCAAGACUAUAUAGUUUCAUCUUGUUAUCUAAAACAGUAUAGCCCGGGGUGGUGUGAGAGAUGUCUUUUGGAGGAGGGUACUAAGGAUGACUCCAUGUGUGCUUCUGGUGGUGUCAUGCUUGAUACUGCCUGGUCUUUUGUGUUACCUUCCCAGAGCCUUCAACAGCCCUGCAGACAUCUCAGAUUUGUUGGGCCCCUGGACCUUUUAGAGGAAUGCAUGUUAUCUCCAUUGCUGCCCUGAAUAUGCAAGCUUAGCCUUUUCAGUGUAUCUUUUUUUUUUUUUAAUUUUUAUUUUACUUUAAGUUCCGGGAUACAUGUGCAGAAUGUGCAGGUUUGUUACAUAG